CAACAACGAAAGGAGGUGGUCGAAUGUCUCAUUGUCUCACGCCGCGCGCGGCCCGUCGGAUGAGCCCGGCCUCCCCUCUGGCGGGGACUGUCGCCUGAAGACGUAGCCGCACGCCGGCUGACAAUGGAAGGGCCGCUCCUCUCGGGGGCGGCCCU
rnacentral:sRNA from 1 species